AAGAGUAGCAAAACAAUUUUUUGUAACGUACAAUACUGUCACAGUAAGGAUCAAUCCUGAAAAGAUCCCUGAAGUCACUGAAGUGCAUCGCCAUGCAGUUAGCAGAAUGUGAUCUGUUACCCAGUGGCAUGAAUAAAGAUAUUCCCCAGCAAUGUAAACUAUCUGGGAAAUUGCAGCUUUACAGGCCUACAGCUGUGUCCUGCAGACAUCUUGUGCUGAGAUGAAGUUGCACAAAUUUUGGUGACCUUUAAAUGACUAUUCAUGGCUCCAGUGAUCAUUGCCGGGAGAUUCUGACACUGAGCUGGAUCUAUACACUGUAAUUAAUCCUACUGUAAUAUUCUUUCCUUGGUAUUUUUAUCCUGACUUUUUUUUUAAUAAAAAUUUAUGUAUGUCCAAUGUCUGCCUAACUUUUACAAAUGAUUUUAAUUUGCCUGUGUUGAAUUCUUUCCUCAUUGCAGAUGAAAACUUUCCAAG